rnacentral:misc_RNA from 1 species
ACAACCGUUUCAAUCCCUUUUGUUUUGAUAUUCAAGGGCUUGGUUAUGGUGGAUGGAGAUGAUGUGUGCGCACUUGUUGAGUUCCUACCUCCCCACCGAAAUUUAGAGGCGGCCUGCCCCCACGUAUUUUUGCGGCGUUGUAAAGGCUUAUCAGCACUAUUCGCUCGCAUCGUGGGUGCACUGCUUGCCAUUGGAGAAAUCCCCAUUCAUCAAA